UACGUAGGGGGCAAGCGUUGUCCGGAAUCAUUGGGCGUAAAGAGCGCGUAGGCGGCCCAGUAAGUCCGCUCUGAAAGUCAAGGGCUCAACCCUUGGAUGCGGAUGGAUACUGCUGGGCUAGAGUCCGGAAGAGGCGAGUGGAAUUCCUGGUGUAGCGGUGAAAUGCGCAGAUAUCAGGAGGAACACCGGUGGCGAAGGCGGGUCUCUGGCAGUAACUGACGCUGAGGAGCGAAAGCGUGGGAGCGAACAGG
rnacentral:rRNA from 1 species